rnacentral:lncRNA from 10 species
ACCCGCGCCCUGCGUCGGAGCCCUUGGACUUGCCUCGCGCGGCGAGGUUGUGCUGGUCUGCAAGGCCGAGCCCCUUCCCUAGGGCUCCUACACUCACAAAGCCUCAAGCUGGGUUCUCUGCUUGUAAAGUCUGCCCAGAGAAUGCAAAUUAUUGGCCAGAGCAAAAGAAAAUCAAGAAGAAAAAGUCUGCUAAAAAGCGCCACUUACUGAACAUUUCCCUUUGUGUCCUCAUCUAAUCUGUACAAUGACCCAGUGAAGAAUUUAGGUUGCACCAUUUGAAAAUACUUUUUGGAAGUAGAAUAUGGUUGAAAGUUGGCAAGUUCAUAGAAUUCAACUUAUUUUCAUUCCCAUUUUACAGAUGGGAAAAGUCUCAGAGACAGCAGAUGAUGUCCCUGUGGUCUCAGGUCGUCCAGUAGGUGGGUGAACUGGGACUUGAAAUCAGGUCUGAUGUCCAGAUCUGCUCCUGACUGCUAUGGUACAGUGUCAUAAGUGAGUUUUGGCUUCUGGUCUACCUGAAGGCUGCCGUCUUUAGUGAAGUGUGGGCUUAACAGAGUGCAAAUACCACUCUACUUUGUGUUUUCAGAAAACAAAGGAUGGCCAAGCUCAUGGACUCUAGUGAUACAAGUUGGAUGGAUAUUGAUGAAAUGGUCAAAAGAGCCCCACAGUGGAUGUGUUAUCUUGGGCAAAUGGCUAAACCUCUCUCGGUUUCCUCAAGUGUUGGUGUCUCCUUCAUAGGGUGUUUGUAAAUAAAUGAAAUAAUGAGUAUGAAA